ensembl:lncRNA
AGAUUCUGCUGAUUGGGAUGCUCGGGAAAGGAUAUGACUAGCUCAGUGGCAGGGUCUCUCUUCCUAUAAACUGCAGAGCAAGCCAGGAUAACCAACUUGCACUUCGGCUUUGUCAGACAGACCUCGCCUUCCUUCCACAGUGAGUCCUACAGGGAGGUGAACCCAGCCAGCCUGAUUCACUGAGCCCUUCCAGGAAAUGUGAUUUCCACUCUUCCCCAGAGCUGCUGCUGGGCUCCCUGUCUCAGCCACUGUCACAAGACACACAGCAGAGUUUGUGAGAUCACUGUGGUCUGAACGGGGCUGCCUGUGCAAAACAUUUGGCUCCCAUCACCCACAGCAGGCCCAAGAGGCAGAGGGCUGUUUGUGCCACACUCCGCAUGAAAAGCACUUUCUGUGGGCUGGAGCAGAUCACGCAGUAAGAGAGGACUUUGCCCUUUAACACUUUGCUUUCCUCUUCCCAGGCCAGCACCAGCAGUAGGACACGCAGGAGCUGUUUUGCAUACUGUAACUAAUGCCCCUGAACGCCCCUUUGUCCAUCUUGCGUCACCUGCAGUCUGAUCCCUGUCAGCUCAUGAGCACACAGAGCCUUCAAAGUUGUCUGCCAGCCGUACAGGAUGCAUUCUUAUUUCUCAGCUUUGAGCGUGUCCCAGGACUGGGACAGACCCAGAUCACUUGCCCUUUUAUCACUCCUGCCCCCGGGAUGGCCUAAGGAGAAGGGAAGAGUGCUCUGCACUGUGUGACACAGAAGGAAGUGUAGAGCCCAGCUUUGCCUUGGCCACCGCCCCGGUGAGCAAUCAGCACAGCACCACCAGCUUGUUCGUCCAGCAACGGAGACAGGUGAUACCAAGUCCUACCUCUGAGUCAGCAAGGAGCAUGCAGUGAAGAUACAGCCUUUUCCAGUAACUGGGAUUUUGCCUCACCUGCUGAUCAGCUGCCUUGUCACAAGAGGAAGUCCUCUGAUAUCAGCGUCUUGGAAUUUUUUAAUUAAGCUUUGUCCUGGCUCCGUGGCUUUCCUUUGACUUCUCUGCCCUGGUCGGCUCACCCAGCUGCAAAGUACUUUCUACCGCUGAUGUCCUCCCAUUUGCAGGCUCCCAGUCACAGCUUCUGCUUACGCCUUAGGCUUGGCUGCUGAGGAGUCUCUUUCUCACUGCCACAGCUCUAGCAUGGUCCAAGCACAGUAUAAAGCAUCACAAAGCAGCAGGGAAGGCUACGAGCAUAUUCUGAAAUCCACAGAGGCCCCUAAAUCAAUAAGUGUAUCCAUCUGUCCCCAGUGAAUUCAAGCUUUUCAAGUUACGGCUUCGAUUACUGUAAUUCCAAAAGAUUGCAGCGGGCAGAGGAGUAUGCUUCUCUUUUUUCUAUUUUUAUGAGCAUAUGAUAGCACUCUGAUAUGAAAUUACAUGUUUUACUGUUUCCCUUGGUAUGUACAGCUGGACACAAAGCCACCCGAGGUCAGCGGAAAGAUUGCCACCAACCUCAGAGCCUCUGGCUUAGACCCAUAAUUACUUUCUUCUGUGGUUUGUUCCAGUUCUGCACCCUUACGUGUCGAAACACAGGAAAACCCAUCUGUAAAGCCACAGGGGAUGAUACCAUGUUUAACUAGUUGCAGAAAGCUUUGUAGAUUUAAAAU